rnacentral:miRNA from 14 species
CCUGGACUCACUUUGUAGACCAGGCUGGACUCAAACUCACAGAGAUCUGCCUGCCUCUCCCUCUGAAGAGCUGGGAU